GUUCGGCAUUUUCUGGGUGAAAGUGGGGUACCAACACCUUUCCACUACAUACCUGUUGUAGGACAACCCUAGGAUGGUUGCCUACACUCAAGGGUAGGUGGACUAGGGUUUUAUUUUUUAGGGUGUAAGGAGAGGAACAAAGAAUAAAUUUUAUGGUAGAGAAAAUUAUAAGAUAAGAAAUAGAGAGAAAGAAGAAACAAUGAAGAAAAGAUGAAAAACCUUAGAGUCU
rnacentral:lncRNA from 1 species